rnacentral:lncRNA from 1 species
UCCUACUCCCAAGAACCCCCCUGGUCCGAGCCAUUGGAGCCCCGGGCUCUGCACCCCCUUCUGAUGGCUGCCAUGGUCUGCCUCGGCCUCGCUCAAAUGUGAGCUCCCUCGAGCCCCUCCUCUCCUCUCACCCUCAGCUGGACCACUACAAAGUCCCAACUCUCCUCCCCGUGGUCCAUUCCCCCCUCUCGAUGGCUCUCGCACCAUGCCCAGUGCCGCCAUCGAUAUCCUCCGCCAUGGCCGAAGCUGAGGUCGCCCCCGACCGUCCCCGGGGCCAACGGCCACCCAGGUGAGUGUGGUAGGCCACCUCGGGCCUACCGGUGGCCGGAGCGCCGCCAAGGGCGGCUAGAGACAUCAGGUCGGGUGCCGGCGCGUGCUUGGUCGAGCUCCCCCGCCUCUCCCCUACUCUGGCAGGAGGUGGGAGGUGGAUCUGACAGCGGGUCCUGGUGGUUGGUAGCUAAGUCCCGGGCCCCCUCUUUAAGUGGACGUGCCUCCCACCGAGUUGUGUAUUUUUGUGGUGAAAGCUUCUUCCUGGAAGGCGCCUUCGAUGGCCUCCUAUGUGUGCAAUUGAAGCUGUUGGGUCGGCCCAAUUGCUUAUCCUGCCCCUGACGCUAAAUAGCCUAGUGGUAUAAAACCCUUCUCCCUCCUUUUUUUAUCCACACAGGUUCAAAUAUCCAUCAAAUAUUCAUAAUGACUCCAAAUUUAAUAAUUGGAGGUCCUAUAGAUUUCUAAAAUUAUAACCUAUCAAAAUAUGAGCAUUGCACAUUUUUACAAAAAUCUUAUAUAUAGUGUUCAAAUUCAAAUUUGAAUUUGAACUACUCAAACUCCACCUUCCAAAAUUCCUAGAGGACUCAAAUCAACUCCAAAUGGAGUGAUUCCAAUUUGUAAAUGACUCUAAAAUCAUGCUCUAUUUUUCUAGCCUAGGCGAACAUGUUUCUCAUACAUUAUUUUUGUUCGACCAAAUAAAUAGAACUUCCACCAUUUAUUCGAAAAUAUUAAAUAUGUAGGAAAAUCAUCC